rnacentral:ncRNA from 1 species
UGAAACGUGAGCCGGUGCCCGUCUUCCUGUACAAUGCCACUGGGUUAUACCCAACAACACUGUGCAGGCAGAUGAGCUGAGAUUAUACGGCCUAACUUGAUCUGGAUAAUACCAGCGAAAGGAAUCGCGUUUUCCACCCCA